rnacentral:rRNA from 1 species
UACGUAGGGCGCAAGCGUUGUCCGGAAUUAUUGGGCGUAAAGAGCUCGUAGGCGGUUUGUCGCGUCUGCUGUGAAAACCUAAGGCUCAACCUUGGGCUUGCAGUGGGUACGGGCAGACUAGAGUGCGGCAGGGGAGACUGGAAUUCCUGGUGUAGCGGUGAAAUGCGCAGAUAUCAGGAGGAACACCGAUUGCGAAGGCAGCUCGCUGGGACGUUACUGACGCUGGAGACGCGAAAGCGUGGGGAGCAAACAGG